AGACGGAGGGUGCAAGCGUUGUUCGGAAUCACUGGGCGUAAAGCGCGUGUAGGCGGUUCGAUAAGUCGAAUGUGAAAGCCCGAGGCUCAACCUCGGAAGUGCAUUCGAAACUGUCGGGCUUGAGUACGGGAGAGGGAAGUGGAAUUCCUGGUGUAGAGGUGAAAUUCGUAGACAUCAGGAGGAACACCGGUGGCGAAGGCGGCUUCCUGGACCGAUACUGACGCUGAGACGCGAAAGCGUGGGGAGCAAACAGGAUUAGAUACCCUGGUAGUCCACGCCGUAAACGGUGAGCACUAGGUGUAGCGGGUAUUGACCCCUGCUGUGCCGCAGCUAACGCAUUAAGUGCUCCGCCUGGGGAGUACGGUCGCAAGAUUAAA
rnacentral:rRNA from 1 species